rnacentral:rRNA from 1 species
GCGUAUACGAAUAUUGUUGCAAGUUAAAACGCUCGUAGUUGGAAAUAAAAAGAAGAAAGAGAGAGAAGAAAAAACAAAUUUGUUUUCAAUCUUUAUUCUAUUUUUUAAUUUUAUAUAUCUACCUAAAAAAGAUAUAUAGUGUUUACUUUGAAUAAAUUAGAGUGUCUUUAAGCAGAAUUAAAAAAUAUUUGAUAUUUUUUUUGACGUUUGAAUAAUUUAGCAUAGAAUAAAAUAAUAAGAUUUGAAAGAUAAGAUUUGGUAAUUAUGUAGCAAAUAAUGAUAAAUAGGAAUAGUUGGGGGUAUUUGUAUUGAAUAGUCAGAGGUGAAAUUCAAGGAUUUGUUCAAGACAAACAUCAGCGAAAGCAUUUACCAAAGAUAUUUCCAUUAAUCAAGAACGAAAGUUAGGGG